AGUGAACGCUGGCGGUAGGCCUAACACGUGCAAGUCGAACGGCAGCACAGUAAGAGCUUGCUCUUACGGGUGGCGAGUGGCGGACGGGUGAGGAAUACAUCGGAAUCUACUUUUUCGUGGGGGAUAACGUAGGGAAACUUACGCUAAUACCGCAUACGACCUACGGGUGAAAGCAGGGGAUCUUCGGACCUUGCGCGAUUGAAUGAGCCGAUGUCGGAUUAGCUAGUUGGCGGGGUAAAGGCCCACCAAGGCGACGAUCCGUAGCUGGUCUGAGAGGAUGAUCAGCCACACUGGAACUGAGACACGGUCCAGACUCCUACGGGAGGCAGCAGUGGGGAAUAUUGGACAAUGGGCGCAAGCCUGAUCCAACCAUACCGCGUGGGUGAAGAAGGCCUUCGGGUUGUAAAGCCCUUUUGUUGGGAAAGAAAAGCAGCAGGUUAAUACCCCGCUGUUCUGACGGUACCCAAAGAAUAAGCACCGGCUAACUUCGUG
rnacentral:rRNA from 1 species